ACACACACACACACACACACACACAAAACGAACAACCUAAAUCCUGAAGAUGAAAUCUAAUGCUAAACCCAUGGCUACUUAAUUUUAAACCUUUAAUCCUCAUUUCUAAACUCCAGUAUAACCUAAAACUGAAACU